rnacentral:rRNA from 1 species
GUGGGGAAUUUUGGACAAUGGGCGAAAGCCUGAUCCAGCCAUGCCGCGUGCAGGAUGAAGGCCUUCGGGUUGUAAACUGCUUUUGUACGGAACGAAAAGACUCCUUCUAAUAAAGGGGGUCCAUGACGGUACCGUAAGAAUAAGCACCGGCUAACUACGUGCCAGCAGCCGCGGUAAUACGUAGGGUGCAAGCGUUAAUCGGAAUUACUGGGCGUAAAGCGUGCGCAGGCGGUUAUAUAAGACAGAUGUGAAAUCCCCGGGCUCAACCUGGGAACUGCAGUUGUGACUGUAUAGCUAGAGUACGGUAGAGGGGGAUGGAAUUCCGCGUGUAGCAGUGAAAUGCGUAGAUAUGCGGAGGAACACCGAUGGCGAAGGCAAUCCCCUGGACCUGUACUGACGCUCAUGCACGAAAGCGUGGGGAGCAAACAGGAUUAGAAACCCUGGUAGUCC